CGGAGGGUGCAAGCGUUAUCCGGAUUUAUUGGGUUUAAAGGGUCCGCAGGCGGACUAUUAAGUCAGUGGUGAAAGCCCACAGCUCAACUGUGGAAUUGCCAUUGAUACUGGUGGUCUUGAGUGCGUAUGAAGUUGGCGGAAUGUGUGGUGUAGCGGUGAAAUGCUUAGAUAUCACACAGAACACCGAUUGCGAAGGCAGCUGACUAAUACGUAACUGACGCUCAGGGACGAAAGUGUGGGGAUCAAACAGGAUUAGAUACCCUGGUAGUCCACACCGUAAACGAUGAUCACUAGAUUUUGGUCGUAAGAUCAGAGUCCAAGCGAAAGUGUUAAGUGAUCCACCUGGGGAGUACGUCCGCAAGGAUG
rnacentral:rRNA from 1 species